rnacentral:tRNA from 1 species
GGCUUUGUAGCUCAGGUGGUUAGAGCGUAGGAUUCAUAACCCUAAGGUCGGCAGUUCAAGUCUGCCCAAAGCCA